AAUUGUUCUGAAAACAUCAGUCAUACAACGAACGAUUUCACUUAGUGUUCGACGGAUCUUGCUACGAUGACCCUUAAUUCUUUAAGACAGAGAUAGAGGAAUCAGAGAUCAAAGCUGUUAUAAUCUCUAGACUUCAAUUUUCGAUGCCACUUCAGAGAAAACAUCGUAUAAUUGUUGUUCCCAACAUCUACAGCAUCGAAACUUGAACUUUACAAAACUAUAACCCGUAGCAAUCCCUGCUUUCGACUACUGAGACUGAAACAAGCAAUUACAGAGGAGAAAAGAGAGAAGCAGACACAUCUCGAUAAAGAGACAUGCUUAAAGGUAUGAGCGUCUUAAAAACGAAGGGAAUCGACAACGCAUCAGUUCGAAUAGAUCGCUUAAUAUGUGAUACGAUGGUGGUUCGCGAAAUAA